AAACGAAAAACCACUGAAGGUUUGUAUGCUUGUUUCAAUGCUCCAGCUUUCAAUUCGCCGGCACUGGAAUCAUGCUUGUCAAACACAUGGAUCAUAUGGGAUGGCCGGUCACCGUGCUGAUGAACCGCAUUACUCUCUUGCUCAUAUAUAACAUCUCUCUCUGUUUGGGGAAGACUGAGAAACCGCCGAAUCAUUGAGAGAUUCUCCCACAGAGUCCUGUUUUCAGAAGUGGAACCUGCAAGAUCAUAUCUAACAAGCUGCCCCCAAUCAACUGAACCAACGUUAGGCUUAUCAUUAUGAUUUAGGAUGUAAACAUUUUUUUCAACUUCAGCUGAAACUUGUUAAAAAAACAAAAAAAAUUGUAUUUACAUUUUACAUGUUUCUAAUAAUCCAUAAACGCUUGGAAAGUGCAAAUGAUGACAUUUAUCUACAUCCUGUGGGAAAUGCCUAAUUAUAAAAAUUGAAAAUUGAAAAUGGUACAAUAAACUGCAUAAUUAUACAUACAUAUGCAAAAUAUAAAGUAUGUUAAAAGAUCAAUUUUGGAACUGUGAAAUGCAAAACAUAAAAAAAAAGAAUAUGAAAUACAUGGAAAAGCAGGUUGAGUAUCCCAUAUCCAAAUAUUCCGAAAUACGGAAUAUUCUGAAAUACGGACUUUUUUGAGUGAGACUGAGAUAGUGAAACCUUUGUUUUUUGAUGUCUCAAUGUACACAAACUUUGUUUAAUACUCAAAGCUAUUAAAAAUAUUGUUAAAUGACCUUCAGGCUGUGUAUAUAAGGUGUAUAUGAAACAUAAAUGAAUUGUGUGAAUGUACACAUACUUUGUUUAAUGCACAGAGUUAUAAAAAAUAUUGGCUAAAAUGACCUUCAGGCUGUGUAUAAGGUGUAUAUGUAACAUAAAUGCAUUCUGUGCUUAGAUUUAGGUCCCAUAACCAUAAUAUCUCAUUAUAGUAUGCAAUUAUUCCAAAAUACGGAAAAAUCCCCUAUCCAAAAUUCCUCUGGUCCCAAGCAUUUUGGAUAAGGGAGACUCAACCUGUACUUAUUAAAUAUAAAAUCUGUCCCUUAUAUCACUGAUGGUCAACUGUAUUUCUUGGAAUGGGUUUGUUGGGUUGACCCUAUUUAGGUCGACACUCAUUAGGUUGACCACUAUUGGUCGACAGGCAGUAGGUUGACACCUGGAAAAGGUCGACAUGGACAUCAGGUCGACAUGGAAAAGGGCUGACAUGAGUUUUUUUGGGGUGUUAUG